GUAGCCUAAGUGGUUAGGGCGUCCACCUCGGAUGAGGGAGGUCGCGGGUUAGAAAUCCGGCCAAUUCA